CGCGGGGUGGAGCAGUCUGGUAGCUCGUCGGGCUCAUAACCCGAAGGUCGGAGGUUCGAAUCCUUCCCCCGCUAC
rnacentral:tRNA from 1 species